rnacentral:rRNA from 1 species
CAGUAGCCGCGGGAAUACGGAGGGUGCAAGCGUUAAUCGGAAUUACUGGGCGUAAAGCGUGCGUAGGCGGUUCGUUAAGCCUGUUGUGAAAGCCCCGGGCUCAACCUGGGAAUGGCAAUGGAUACUGGCGAGCUAGAGUGUGUCAGAGGAUGGUGGAAUUCCCGGUGUAGCGGUGAAAUGCGUAGAGAUCGGGAGGAACAUCAGUGGCGAAGGCGGCCAUCUGGGACAACACUGACGCUGAGGCACGAAAGCGUGGGGAGCAAACAGGAUUAGAUACCCCCGUAGUCCCUGUCUCUUAUAC